rnacentral:pre_miRNA from 11 species
GUGCAAUUGCCGCUGGGAUACACCCUGUGCUCGCUUUGAAUUGUGCAAGCAAGUGAACACAGCUGGUGGUAUCCAGUGGCCGUUGGCAG